rnacentral:rRNA from 1 species
AAGCCAAAUUAAGGUGAAACCGCGAAAGGCUCAUUAAAUCAGUUAUGGUUCCUUAGAUCUUACCACUUUCCACUUGGAUACCUGUGGUAAUUCUAGAGCUAAUACAUGCGAACAGAGCUCCGACCGGAGACGGGAGGAGUGCUUUUAUUAGAACAAAACCAAUCGGCGGCCGGCUUUGCGCCGUUCGUCGUACAACUUGGUGAAUCUGAAUAACUUAGCUGAUCGCGCACGGUCUCGCACCGGCGACGUAUCUUUCAAAUGUCUGCCUUAUCAACUGUCGAUGGUAGGUUCUGCGCCUACCAUGGUUGUAACGGGUAACGGGGAAUCAGGGUUCGAUUCCGGAGAGGGAGCCUGAGAAACGGCUACCACAUCCAAGGAAGGCAGCAGGCGCGCAAAUUACCCACUCCCGGCACGGGGAGGUAGUGACGAAAAAUAACGAUACGGGACUCAUCCGAGGCCCCGUAAUCGGAAUGAGUACACUUUAAAUCCUUUAACAAGGAUCAAUUGGAGGGCAAGUCUGGUGCCAGCAGCCGCGGUAACUCCAGCUCCAAUAGCGUAUAUUAAAGUUGUUGCGGUUAAAAAGCUCGUAGUCGAAUCUGUGUCCCGCGCCGCCGGUUCAUCGCUCGCGGUGUUCAACUGGCGUGCCCGCGGGACGUCCUGCCGGCGAGCUUAGCCCGCGAGGGCGGCUCAACUUGAAAUCCCGUCGCGGUGCUCUUCACUGAGUGUCGAGGUGGGCCGGCACGAUUACUUUUGAACAAAUUAGAGUGCUUAAAGCAGGCUAAAACUUUGCCUGAAUACUGUGUAUAUAGAAUAAUGUAAUAGGACCUCGGUUCUAUUUUGUUGGUUUUCGGAACCCCGAGGUAAUGAUUAAUAGGAACGGAUGGGGGCAUUCGUAUUGCGACGUUAGAGGUGAAAUUCUUGGAUCGUCGCAAGACGGACUAAAGCGAAAGCAUUUGCCAAAAACGCUUUCAUUGAUCAAGAACGAAAGUUAGAGGUUCGAAGGCGAUCAGAUACCGCCCUAGUUCUAACCAUAAACUAUGCCAGCUAGCGAUCCGCCGACGUCCCUCUGAUGACUCGGCGGGCAGCUUCCGGGAAACCAAAGCUUUUGGGUUCCGGGGGAAGUAUGGUUGCAAAGCUGAAACUUAAAGGAAUUGACGGAAGGGCACCACCAGGAGUGGAGCCUGCGGCUUAAUUUGACUCAACACGGGACACCUCACCAGGCCCGGACACUGGAAGGAUUGACAGAUUGAGAGCUCUUUCUUGAUUCAGUGGGUGGUGGUGCAUGGCCGUUCUUAGUCGGUGGAGCGAUUUGUCAGGUUAAUUCCGAU